AGCAAACAUGAAGCCCCCAAAUCCCAAUCUCUAAUCCUCAGACCUCAAUUCUCCACCACCACCACAAGCUCAUCAUCCAUGGCGUACCUCCCUUUCGAGGUCAUCAUCGACAUCCUCGCUCGCCUUCCGGUUAAGCACCUUCUCCGUCUCCGGAGCGUCUGCAAGCCAUGGCGGUCCCUAAUCGACAGCCUCGACUUCAUCCACCUCCACAUCGGCAAAUCCAUCGCUGCCAAAUCCAAUCUACGUCUCCUCCUCCGCCUGGACUCCCGCCUCUUCUCCGUCGGCGGCGACGACGACGACUUCUUCGCCCUAAACGACGCCGUCGAGCUCCCCCACCCCCUGAUGUGCUACAGCAACGAGAUUAAGAUCCUCGGCUACUGCAACGGCCUUCUCUGCAUCGCUAAUGUCGCCGAGGACAUCGCCUUCUGGAACCCCUCCACCAAAACGCACCGCCUGUUGCCGUUUUUGCCCCUCGAUAGAACCCGCGACCUCCGCAUGUCGUCGCGUUUCUACAGAGUCUUCGGCUUCGGAUACGACGCCGUGAACGAGGAUUACAAGCUGGUAAGGAUUUCGCAGUUCAUUGGGUUGGAUUACAGGUCGUUUGAGUCGGAGGUUAAGAUCUAUAGUUUGAGAACGAAUGAGUGGAAGAGUAUGGAAGAUAUGCCUUAUGCACUUUGGUAUACCGACAAAAUGGGGGUUCAUGUCAAUGGUUUCUUGCAUUGGGUGGUGAUAAGGAAGAUCGAAUUGGACGAAACUGGAUUGAUUGUUGCGCUUGAUGUUGUGGGAGAGAGUUAUAGGGAGAUUCCAUUACCUGAGUGUAUGAACAAUGAGUACCAAAUCGAGUUGGGGGUUUUGGGUGGGUGUGUUUGUGUUCUUGCGAGUUAUAAAGAAGGGGGUUUUGAUGUGUGGGCGAUGAGGGAAUACGGGGUUAAGGAGUCAUGGACGAAGCUGUUAAAGCUUGGACAUUCUGUGUUGGGAGUUAGGCCUUUGACUUAUUCGAAAAAUGGCGGCGAUAUUCUGUUUGAGGAGGGGUAUAGGAAGCUGUUUUGGUAUGACUUGAACAGUCAAAGAGUAAAGGAUGUUAAGAUUCGUGGUGCGCCGGAGGUAUUCGAGGCUUUUGUUUGUGUGUGCAGCCUUGCUCCGGUCACUGCUAGGAGAAGACGAAGCGGCGGCAGAAACCACGAAUCGGGAGAGGACAACAACAAAAUGAGGGAUAAUUUUCUAUCAGAAGGCUUCAAGUUGGUGUUAUAGGCAACCAGGCGAAGAAUAUGAAUGAGAGUGGAAAAAAAAGGGGCUGAAGUUGAAGGGACAUGUGAGUUUGUUCAUUAUAGAGUGCUACAAAAUAAGGUUGAAAAGAAGUUGAGAUUAUAGUUUUCUUUUAUACAUAUUACAUUUGCGCCAAACAAUAAUCACAUGUACGGACGCAAGGACCUUGAGGUUUUCGUUGAUGUUUCUCGUGAGAACUGGAAGCAUCUUCUCGUGAGAACUGGAAGCAUCUUCUAGUUCUGAUACUUAGAUUUUCUUUCCGUACUUUUCAACAAAUGUUUGCAUGAGAAAUUGAGAGUUGACUUCCUUCUCCAUGUUGUA